ACUCUGAAGGUCCAGAGCAGGUGCUUGUCCUCCACUACAAAUGAAACACAUUUGGAAGAAGAUAGCAAGUUAGGCAAAAACAAGGUCUCGAGUCAACUUGCAGAAGGAACUGGGAAAACACUAAUUUUGCCGGAGUCAGAGUUGUUAGAGACACCUUCAAAUGAUGCUUAUGCUGGCUGUAGUUCACCGAAGGUCCAGAAAAGGUGCCUGUCCUCCACCACAAAUGAAAUACAUUUGGAAGAAGAUACAAAGUUUGAUUCUUCUAAGGUUUCAAGCCAAAUUUCAGAAGGAACUGGAAAGACGCUAAUUUUGCCCAAGUCAGAGUUUAUAGACACACCUUUACAUGAUGUGUAUGCUGGCAGUAGCUCACCAAAGGUCCAGAGCAGGUGCCUGUCCACCACAAAUGGAACACAAUUUGAAGAAGAUACAAAGUUAGAUACUUUCGAUGUUUCGAGGAAACUUCAUCCAAAGGUAGAAGAAGGGACCAGAAAAGUUAGUGGAGAUCAAUUGGAUGAAGUUAUUAAAUGUUCCAACCAAGUUGAACCAGAUGAGAAGUCAAAUGAGUCAGUUGAAUUACCAGAUAUUCAGGAGCCUGCUUUGCAAUUCGUAUCUGGGGAUGACAGUGAUGAGUCAGAAAUUGUGGAACAUGAUGUAAAAGUAUGUGAUAUUUGUGGGGAUGCUGGUCGGGAGGAUUUGCUUGCUAUAUGUAGUAAAUGCAGUGAUGGUGCAGAACACACCUAUUGCAUGCGAGAAAUGCUUCAGAAAGUUCCUGAAGUGGAUUGGUUGUGCGAAGAAUGCAAGUUAGCUGAGGAAACAGAAAACCAGAGGCAAGGUUCAGAUGUUGAAGGUAAAAGAACAAACAAAGCAAACGCACCAAGCUCUGGCAAGAGACAUGUAGAAACAAUGGAGGUGGCUUCAACUUCAAAAAGGCAGGCUGUUGAAACAAGUUUUGGAUCUCCUAAGUCAUCCAGCCCCAGCAGAACAGCUGCACUGUUGCGGGAUAGUUCUUUCAAGGGCUUAGAUAAAGGGAAAGUAAAGCUAGAUCAUCCAAUAUCUGUUGUCAAUCACUCCAGUAUUGAUAGUCCAGAAACUACACGUUCUUCUAUUGGUCCACGAAUUCAGACACCCAAGGGUACUUUAUUGAAGUCCAAUUCAUUCAAUACUUUAAAUUCCAAACCAAAGAUAAAACUUGUUGAUGAGGUUCCUCAAAAGCAGAAGGGCAGUAGAGAAAGUCGUUCUCUUGAUAUGAAGGAGGGGACUGCCAGGAUGAUAAGCAAAUCUUUGUCAUUUAGAACAGUGAACUCAGGCCGUUCCAAUGCUACUGAGUCAAAAGUUAAAAUGCUUUCUUCAAAAAUUUCUCAAGCUCAGGAUAUAAAAGCAUUAAAACAAGUGAAAGAACGAAAUGCAUUUGAAAGUAAAAGUUCAUCUAAAUUAGAUCGUCCCAUGGGUAGUUUAGUGACAACUAGUUCUAAUGUCUCUAUGCCUAUGAUCAGUCAAAAGCUCACACCUCGUGGUGAUAGUGUGAUGAUAUCAUCCACAGGCAACAACAAAGAGUUGAAUGCGUCACAAUCUGAUGGAAAAUUGAAUACUUUAUCAAGGUCAACCAGUAGUGUAGCUCGUAAAGGUGCAGAAAUUCCAGUUACUUCUGUUCGAUCUUUACCCGUGAAUGGGAUGAGCAGUGCUUUUGUUGAACAAAAGUUAAACCAAGUUAGCCCAAAGGAUGAACCCUCUUCGAGUUUUUCUUGGACUGCAGAGCGACCGUAUUAUAAUGUAGAUGAAAAUGUGCAAGAUGGUUUAUCUCGGUCACGGGAAUCAUCAAAUCAGAGUGAGAAAUCUAGAGAAAUUUCUGUUUCUCGCAUGAGGCCUGCUAUUACUGCUGGGCAAAAAAAUAUCACCUGUCAAAAGUGCAAGGAAAUUGGGCAUGCUACAGAAUUUUGCACAUUUGUUACUCCUUGGGCUUCUUCUGGUAUGGAUACACCUUCUGCUAGAACUGUUAGGGAGGACGUGAGCCAAGGUAGUAAGUUAAAAGUUGCAAUUGAGGCUGCUAUGCUUAGGAAGCCGGGAAUAUUCAGAAAGAAAAAAGAAAGUGAACAAUCUGAUGGGUUGUCCUCAUCAAAUGUGGAUAUAACUUCUGAGAUAGCUUCUCACGAUCAGUUUUCGGUUUCAAAUAAGGUGAGGAAUGUGAUUUCUGAUGAAGGAACGGAUGAAGGACAAGCAAAUCUUGGUAUUUCUUCCUUGGAGAAUUACAGACAGACAAAUAUUAAUAAUGAGAAGCAGCUGAAUGUGCAUUCCACUGAUGCUGUUUUUCCUUUCAAAGCCAGGGACUUGGAUUCCACAGUCCCUUCAAUUGGAAAACCUAGUUGUGCUUUGGCAGCAAUGUCCCUCUUUUCAAAGAUUUUAACCAUCCCGGAGCAUGAAUAUAUCUGGCAGGGGGCCUUUGAAGUGCACAGGUGUGGAAAAAUUCUGGACGUAGAAUAUAUCUGGCAGGGGGCCUUCGAAGUGCACAGGGGUGGAAAAAUUCUGGACGUGUAUGGUGGAAUUCAAGCACAUUUAUCAGUUUGUGCUUCACCUAAAGUUCUUGAAGUGGUAAACCAGUUUCCCCAGAAAAUUGCUCUAGAUGAAGUGCUUCGCCUGAGCACAUGGCCAAGACAGUUUCAUGACAAUGGUGCCAAAGAGAAUAAUAUUGCUCUAUAUUUUUUUGCUAAGGAUCUUGAAAGUUAUGAAAAAAGCUACAAGAAUUUGUUGGAUAACAUGAUUAAAAGAGAUUUGGCACUUAAAGGAUAUUUUGAUGGUGUUGAAUUCUUGAUAUUCCCGUCUACUCAGCUUCCAGAGAACUCCCAGCGUUGGAACACAUUGUUUUUUCUAUGGGGUGUAUUCAGGGGAAAUAGAUCCAGUUGUUCAGAUUCCUUUAAUAAGUUGGUUAUUCCCGGUUCUAAUGUGGUGCCUUGGGACAUGAAUUCUCCUGACAAGC
rnacentral:misc_RNA from 1 species